UACAGGAGGCAGCAGUGAGGAAUAUUGGGCAAUGGAGGAAACUCUGACCCAGCAACGCCGCGUGAAGGAAGAAGGUCUUCGGAUCGUAAACUUCUGUUAUAGGGAAAAAGAAAGUGAUG
rnacentral:rRNA from 1 species